rnacentral:lncRNA from 1 species
ACAUGCUCUCUGCCCUCUGGGGGUUGGGUUUGGGAGUGGAGACAAAGAGGUACACACAGUCCAAGGCCAUGGGUAAGAAGAGAGAAAGCAGAUUGUCCUGAGCCCCAAGUGUCUGUGAUUCUCUUAGCUAAGUAAGGAAUCAGUGCCAGAGACAGAGGUUGCUGGAGCUGAGAGGAGACGUAGUCAAGAAGAUUGGAGAAGGCUCUGCGGAGAAGGUGAACUUGAGCUAAGACUUGAAGGGAGGGCAGGCUUGAAGGGAUGAAACAGCCUCCUCUGUGCUAAAGAGAGGAGUGACAGGGCCAUCAUCAGGCAAAGGGGACAUUACCAGGCAAAGGGACACCAUUGGUCAAAGGCGAUGGUGGAGACAAGACAUUCUGGAAGAGCCCGGAUCAGAGAGAUUUGGGGCCAGGAGCCGGCAUCAGGGGACCGGCUCCCUAAGGAACCAUGGCACCACUGGCUCUCAGCUGGAAAUAAGCAGCAGAUGAAGCACAUGCAUCCUGAGUUUUGGCUCUGGUGAUGGUGGUGGAGCUGUUAAUUCUUGGAGUCCAAAUUCCUGCACCACCUCUGAGUUCCGAGGGGGUGGGGAAGAGCAAGUGAUGGCUGGACAGCAAAGAGGAGUGGAGGCCGGGAGAAUGGGCAGCUAGCCCAGCGCUCUCCAAUAUCUGGGAGUCGACCGCACUCCUGCACUCCCUGUCAUCCCUGCUAAUGGUGAGGAACUGAGCAAAAGAGCCUCCAGAGUGACAGGUGACUUAAAGCGCACGUGGCUCUACAUUUACAAUUGAAGUGGGCUUUGGAGAUUGCAGAUUCUGAAUACCUGCUGGGGUGGUACAGAGGCUGUGUUCUGGUUUUGCCAUCUUGGACAGGGGGUUGGGAGUCUGGGGGGCUGCCUUCUCUCCUCUUCGUGCAGCUCUGCUGGGGCCUGUCUCACACUUGUGAGCAGAGUUAUGGCUGGAUUCCAGGGGAGACAGAGCUUGGUUGUGAAAUGUAAGGUUGUGAAAUGAAGGGCUUGUGAAAUGAACAAAGAAUGUAUUUAAGGGUCUUUCAUUUUAAAUCGAACACUUACAUAGCACUUACUACUUGCAAAGCUCCACUCUAAGCACUUUACCCAUCUUAAUUCAUUUAAUUCUCUUCUCAACCCUAAAAAGCAGGUAUUACCAUUGCUCCAAUCUUACAGAUGAGGAAACUCAGGCAUGGAGAGGUUGAGCGACUUGCCCAAAUUCAUGCAGUUAGGACCUGGCAGAGCUGCGCUUUGAACCCAGGCUGCCUGGCUCUAGAGUGUGUGCACGAAACUUCACUGCCAUAUGAACAAAACUGCAGGACAUAUGUUCUCAAAGCAAAUAAGCCUCCCAGAGAGGCUUUUCCUGAUGGCUUCAAGGACCUGCCCUAGCCUGGUCUGACUUCCCAGAGGGGAUCCAGUCCCAACAUUGGCCCUAUCUUUAGACCACAUUUCCAUCCCAUUCUCAGUGAAAACCCUGAGUCAUGACAGAAGACAACCAAUGCUGGAGAGAGGAGGUUUCAGGAUCUGAGGGGCACCCGCAGCAGUGCAGACGGACCGCUCCAUUCCGUCAGAGGCCACACUUAUUUCACCAGUUCCAUCCUGAUGUUUUCCAGACUUCUACAUAACAGAUGAUUCACCAGUGUGUCCCCCCAUGGAUGCCUCUGCUCACAUAGAAAGGGUUAAUUCUUGGAAGCUGAGGUGCUGUCAAAGGGCAUCUGACAGAUCAGCCGCCCUCUGCUCCAGGGGUGUGGUCUUCCUCUCCGACCCAUGAUGCGUGGCAGCCUGGCUGCCCACACCCUCAGAUCCCUGAGCAGCAGUGUCUCGCUGUGGUUUUAUCAGCAGUCUUUUUAAAUUAAUUUUUUUUUUUCUGUCACUUGCCUGGAUGGAAUCAGCAGUCUUUUUAUUAUGAGGGAGAUCAAGCACCUUUUCAUGUUAAAUCCCUCCUCCUUUUUUUAUCCUUUUCCUGUGAGCUACCUGUUUUUCUCUUUUAUCAGGCCUGGAUAUUUUGGGGCAAUGCUGGGCUGUCCUAGUACUCCCUGCCUGUUCCAGUUGAUCCAGGCUCCUUAAAGCUCCAACAGUGUGGAUUCUGUGAGCAUCAUGAAAGCCCAAGGGUGGUGGUCUCUCCAGGUGUCAGAGAGCCAAUGGUGAGUGAGAGAACCCCCCGGCCAGGGCAGCAGAGAAGCCUCAUGCCCACCAGUGCCAAUAGCCUGGCAUGGGAGCAGCCCUCUUUGUACAGGAAAAUGGGCCACAUUUGUCUUUAACAUUUGCUUCUUGUCCAAAGCAUUUUAGAGUGUGAUGGACAUGAAAUGAUGGAGACAGUGUGUAUCUACUUCCCUUGAAAGCUCCUCCAGCGAAUCCAGAGCCAGCAUCUUCCUGUAGCAUCUGCCCCUCCCUCCCUUUCAGGCCUGUGGUAACAUCUCCUCCUGCAGAACCUGGGCCCUGCUAUCCUGCUAUCAAAGGGUGGAGAGCCUGAUGGUCUGUGAAAUUCCCAGGGAAGGUUCAGGUAUCAGAAAUGCACUGAAGAACCACCUGAGCUCACUCUGUUAAUGGCGAUAUUUCACGUGAUUUAUCUGGAAGGGUUGGUAACUGAUAUGGUAACAAAUCUCAUCUUGAAUUCCCACAUGUUGUGGGAGGGAUCUGGUGGGAAGUAACUGAAUCAUGGGGGCAGGUCUUUUCUGUGCUGUUCUCUUGAUAGUGAAUAAGUCUAACGAGAUCUGAUGGUUUUAAAAAGAGGAGUUCCCCUGCACAAGCUCUCUCUCCCUGUCUGUCUGCUGCCAUCCAUGUAAGAUGUGGCUUGCUCCUCCUUGCCUUCUGCCAUGAUUGUGAGGCUUCCCCAGCCACUUGGAACUGUAAGUCCAAUUAAACCUCUUUCUUUUGUAAAUUCCCCAGUCUCGGGUAUGUCUUUAUCAGC